rnacentral:lncRNA from 1 species
UUAAUGGUUGAGCCAUGAUAAUUGGCUCCUGAUCAGAUAGUUGAGUCAGAUCGUAGAGUCUGAUGGUUAUACUGCCUUGGAGGAGGACUCCUUGAUGAUUGAGCUAAGAAUGUGCCUCUGCCUUGAUCUCCUUUCCCUUUAUUCUCCCCCUUUAUGUCAACAUCAAGGGUUCGAAUGUCUUCUGAGAGGCGAGUCAUUCCUUGGAUAAGCUCG